UACUAGACUUCCUGUCGAAAC
rnacentral:piRNA from 1 species